AGCGAACGCUGGCGGCAGGCUUAACACAUGCAAGUCGAGCGGGCACUUUCGGGUGUCAGCGGCGGACGGGUGAGUAACGCGUGGGAACGUGCCCUCUGGUUCGGAAUAACUCAGGGAAACUUGAGCUAAUACCGGAUACGCCCUUUUGGGGAAAGGCUUGCUGCCGGAGGAUCGGCCCGCGUCUGAUUAGCUAGUUGGUGAGGUAACGGCUCACCAAGGCGACGAUCAGUAGCUGGUCUGAGAGGAUGAUCAGCCACACUGGGACUGAGACACGGCCCAGACUCCGACGGGAGGCAGCAGUGGGGAAUAUUGGACAAUGGGCGCAAGCCUGAUCCAGCCAUGCCGCGUGAGUGAUCAAGGCCUUAGGGUUGUAAAGCUCUUUUAUCCGGGACGAUAAUGACGGUACCGGAGGAAUAAGCCCCGGCUAACUUCGUG
rnacentral:rRNA from 1 species